rnacentral:rRNA from 1 species
ACGCUCGACACCUACGGAGGCAGCAGUGGGGAAUAUUGCACAAUGGGGGAAACCCUGAUGCAGCGACGCCGCGUGAGUGAAGAAGUAAUUCGUUAUGUAAAGCUCUAUCAGCAGGGAAGAAAGUGACGGUACCUGAGUAAGAAGCCCCGGCUAACUACGUGCCAGAAGCCGCGGUAAUCUGAGCGGGCUGGCAAGGC